rnacentral:rRNA from 1 species
UACGAAGGGGGCUAGCGUUGUUCGGAAUUACUGGGCGUAAAGCGCACGUAGGCGGAUAUUUAAGUCAGGGGUGAAAUCCCAGAGCUCAACUCUGGAACUGCCUUUGAUACUGGGUAUCUUGAGUAUGGAAGAGGUAAGUGGAAUUGCGAGUGUAGAGGUGAAAUUCGUAGAUAUUCGCAGGAACACCAGUGGCGAAGGCGGCUUACUGGUCCAUUACUGACGCUGAGGUGCGAAAGCGUGGGAGCAAACAGGG